UGCCGCUGGAGACUUGAGAUGUGUAGAUUCUGCCAUCGAGUCUGUUCUAGAAGAUAUCGACAGCGCAUUCAUUUUAAAAGGGAAACAGAGAAACUCCAGGCAUUUGUUGAUAAAGAUGUUUUUGCCGUCCUUCCUACAGGAUUCGGCAAAAGUUUAAUGGGACUCAAUGAAAACCCAUUAGUCAUUGUUGUUUCUCCUUUGUCGCACUCAUGGAGGACCAAGUGAAAGAAGCAACUGAAAUGGGCAUCACGGCGAUGCAACUCAACGUGGAUAUAGCCAGCGGUCAUUGCCAGCUCCUUUUCGGAAGACCGGAAUCCUGGCUGCUGAACAAGUGGAGGGACAUGCUAGGCUCCGAUGUUUUUUAAGCCAACGUAAUGGGUAUCAUCGUGGACGAAGUUUAUCUUACUUACAAAUGGGGUCAGGCUGUAAAAGGGCAGACGCCAUUUCGCGACAGCUUCGCCAAGUUGGGAGACCUUAGAUCCUUAGUUAAAGCUGGUACACCUGUGCUGACAUUGACGGCUUUUGCUGAUCGGGAAUCCAGAGCCAGGGUUAUGAAACAGCUUCAGAUGGACAAUCCAAUCAUUUUGGAGCCCAAACAGAACAAACAUCAGACUGGGUCUGAUUAAAGUACCUGGCCAUACACUGGA